CGCCAUGAGCGCAUGAUACGCCCGUCGUUCGCCAAUGAAGUAGUAAGGUAAUAAAUAACCCUUUGAAUCAUUUUUUUACUUCAGUUUAUUUGUAUUUGAAUACAUGGUUUAUUUUAUAAGAACAUGAGCAUGGAGCGCCGUCUCCUUGACAUUCAACAAAGUCCCAUAACUGUGGAACAACAAUUCAGAAUUCCGUCAAAAACGAAAGGGGAUCAGGGUUUAUCAAUAUUAAGAUUGUGUUGAAAUUUGAAAAAAAUCCAUCGAAGGAUAUUUGAGCUACAGUAGGACAUUCAAUGAAAUCACGAAAUUUUGACGAACAAAGUCCCAUAACUCUGGAACGACAAUUCAGAAUUCCGUCAAAAACGAAAGGGGAUCAGGGUUUAUCAAUAUUAAGAUUGUGUUGAAAUUUGAAAAAAAUCCAUCGAAGGAUAUUUGAGCUACAGUAGGACAUUCAAUGAAAUCACGAAAUUUUGACGAACAAAGUCCCAUAACUCUGGAACGACAAUUCAGAAUUCCGUCAAAAACGAAAGGGGAUCAGGGUUUAUCAAUAUUAAGAUUGUGUUAAAAUUUGAAGAAAAUCUGUCAAAGGAUAUUUGACGUAGCGUACGACAUUAACAGACGGACAGACGGACGCGGGGUAUACCAUAAUACGUCCCGUCAUAGAC